GAUGAACGCUGGCGGCGCACAUAAGACAUGCAAGUCGAACGAACUUAAUCGAAAGUUUACUUUUGAAGCGGUUAGUGGCGGACUGGUGAGUAACACGUAAGCAACCUGCCUAUCAGAGGGGAAUAACAGUGAGAAAUCAUUGCUAAUACCGCAUAUGCUCACAGUACCACAUGGUACAGUGAGGAAAGGAGCAAUCCGCUGAUAGAUGGGCUUGCGUCUGAUUAGAUAGUUGGUGGGGUAACGGCCUACCAAGUCGACGAUCAGUAGCCGGACUGAGAGGUUGAACGGCCACAUUGGGACUGAGAUACGGCCCAGACUCC
rnacentral:rRNA from 1 species